UCAAUUGUGGUCGUAAGUCGAGGACUACCUGGAAUUGUGGGCAUAAGGGCAAGCCAUCUGAGGCUGCAGAUGCUGAGUUCCAACUGACCUUGAACCCACCAUGUCACAGUCCUGAGAAGGGAACACAGAUAGUCCUCGACUUGCGACCAUAGUGGAGCCUGCCCAUUACGGUCGCAAGUCAUGAUGGUUGCAAAGCGAGUCACCCAUGCGUCUGACCCAAUUUUACCAUCUCUUUUGCGACAUGUCAAAUGAAUGCCACUGUCCUAAAGUGGACCCAUUGUUCACUGUCAGCGGUUUCACCGAAAACCAGAAAUAAAUGCCGCUUUAUAACAAAACCAUCAUAAAAUAUAGUCGUGACCAUGGGCCGCUGAAAAUGGCUGUAAACGCAAGUCUGUUGCCAAGCAACCCACAUGCAGUCACAUGACCAUGGAGCGGGGGGAAGUGACUGUCACAACUUUGGAAAUGGAUUGUUAAGAAUCCCCGAGGGAGAUCCGUCAUAAAUUUGAAGCUGUCCUAAAUCAAGGACUACCUGCACCAUGAAGGCACCUCAGAAGAUGGAGGCAACAACUGACGGGCUUGUUGGUUUCUUUUUUGGAUUGCAAUUGUUGAUUCCAUCACUUUUGAUAGAUGUCGCUUCCAUACUGUGCAACCCAAACGCCACUCUGUCAUUCUGUUUCCAUGUAGACAAUGGUUGGCUAUCCAGAAAUUGAGGAGUAAAAUCCGGAAGAAAGUGGACACCAAGGCCAGUAAAGGAAGGAAAAUCCGGUAUCAUGUCCACAGCAAGCUGUUGAGCUUCAUGGCGCCCAUUGACCACUGCACGAUGAAUGAUGACGCCAGGACAGAACUGUAUCGGUCACUGUUUGGCAAGCAGGUCCGCCUAGAAGAAGGACAUCAAGCCUAGUGAUCCAAAGGACUCCUUGGCAGGUUCUGGAAUGUGGGAGACCUUCUCAUAUUCGGAUAGUCCCACCACCCUACAGACCUCACUCAGGGGAGCCAAGGUGGUGUCUGUCCAUUUGAUGGAGAAGAACCUGAGGAAGCUGCCAUCCAUGAUCACAUUAGGACACAGGACAACAUUUUUCUCCUACUCUCCCCCCCCCCUCCUUUCUGAACUUCCCUCAAGAUGAGCCAUGUUAAUUCCAUCAGGCUCUUUCCUCUGGGAUCUUCAAGAACACAGUGGGCACGAAGUCAUCAUUCUGGCCACUGAUCACCACUGACACUGCAUCCUGAUGGAUGGACGGAUGGGAUGGAUGGAUGCCAAAGCAAUUUGCUUGAUGAAAAAAGGCUCACCACUGGCACUGCAUCCCAAUGGAUGGAUGAUUGGAUGGAUGGAUGAUGGAUUGGAUGGGUGAUGGAUGGAUUGGAUGGAUGAUGGAUUUG